UGCACACAAAUCCUUGUGCCUGCAAAGGGUGCGUCAGUGCCGCUUGCCUUUCAUGUGUGCUGUGCGCCAUGUCAUUGUCCCUUGCAUGGUACAUGUGUGGACUGCUCAAGAUUUAUGGCUGUAAUUUUUGCUGCCACUUCAGAUGGCAUUCAGCGGACAGUUGGCCACUAAGUGUGCACGUGUCGGGAGGACCAAUACAGUCAGAUUCCAUAAUAGAAAGUUAUCGCCUGUUUUCGCACAAUGUUGCGUCUCUCCCUCCUCUCCACUAGUAGUGUGUCAGUGAGGUACUAGCCUUACUGUAUGGUUUGUUCAUCAAGAAAGGG